UGUGAUUUUUUCUUUUCCUAUUAUGAAAGGUUAGAAAAUAAUGAAAAUUUAGUUAAAAGAAAGAAAGAGAAUAUUCUUACUAUUGGUAAGUUUUUAUAUGUGACCUUUUUACAAAGUAUGCUAAAGGGACAAACACAACAUAUCAAUAUACUUAAAAGACAUUUAAUAAUGAUAAUCAUUUUAGGAAAGAUUGUUUACAACAUAACCACUAAAAAUUAUUUAUUUGAUGUAAGGAGACAAUCAACUCGAUAAUAUAUAAACUGAUAAAAUCAUUUGUUACAUGAAAAGAGAAAUAUGGUCGAAUUUGUCAAGUUUGUUCAUGUUAUGAUUAUCUUUCUUUCCUUAUUUCUUUUUGCAAAGAACGUUGUAGGUAUUAUAUGUUUUCAAGAUUCUGAUUGUCCACAAGAUAUGUGCCCAUAUCCUUUUAAACCGAAGUGUAAUAAUUACGGCUAUUGUAAGUGUUAGAAAUAUUUUUCCAUUAGAUUCUAUCUCCACAUAAAUAGCACUUUUGUAAUUCUAGUUUUCUGCAAAGGAUUUCUGUCUAUUCUUGCUACUGUUUUGAGUAUUUCAAUUCUGAAAUAUAAGAAUGAGUAGUCUACUUUACCUUAGGGUUGCAGAGAGUCCCUUGGUGGGGGUUAUGUAAUUUUUAUCAUUACUCUAUAUGUUAUAGCAUCUGGUACAUUGAUAAAUUUAGUCUUAUGGUAUUGUAUUGUUUUGUAA